CGCGCUGCAUGCUGGGGGCGUAUUCUCGCGGGAUCGACUCACAGGCGUGGAGAGAUGAGGUUUCAGUACCCUUUAUCCUCCCAUAGUUAUGGAAGGUCCGGGUAGCGGGUUGUAUCAUUUCGGUGUCUGACGUCGGGGAGAAAGGGUUAUGGUUUGAAAUCCCUUGCUUUUUAAGCCUUUUAUAGUGUGCAAUGCCUACAAACGGUGUCGAUUCGUGUUUUGUGCUUGUAAAUUAGCGGGAAGGAAAAGGUGGACGGACUAUUUCCUUGGAAUUGCCCUGGAAUUAGAGUAGGUUCUUUUUUAAAGGUGCCCCGAGGGCAUACUUUCUAUGAAGAAGAUAAAAGGUCUUCUCUUGCUGAGAAAUUGGCAGAGCUGUGAAGUUCUGAGUGUGACCAGAAAAGGAACUUACCACUGCAUGAAUACCAAGAGAGAAAGAAACUACACAUUUCAGAGGGUUGAGUGGGGGCUCCCGCACACCUAAAACACCCGGAGAAAACAGGCAAUGAGGACUACUACAGCUCUACUCAGACACUUCUUUCAACCCAGCCUCUGGGUGCACACGUUAAGGGCCUUCGACUCAGCAGGUGGAAAACCCAAGACCUACAGAGUCCCAAGAGAACAUGUCCAGCUGGUGGCCAAGGGGAUGGGGAGCCCCUGUCGGCUGUGCAUUGCCUGGUGCCCUUUACAGUUUGCACGCUGUCCCUCCUGGCCAGGAUUGCAAGCUACAUCAUAGGUUACGCAUGGAUUAUGUACAUAUUGACUAAUAAGAAAAUAAAUAGCACGUCUGAGAAAAAUACAUCACGCGGAGAAAGUAGGAUGAAGUCAUUACAACCAUCAAUGGCCAAGAGACUGGAGGAAGCAAACAUCGUCUGGUCAGGUGAAGUUUUUAUAAGAAGGCUCACGUUUCAAAUGCCUUCCUCCAGUAGGAAAUAAACAUUAAUAAUAAGGACUGAGAACAUUUCUGUGUAUUGUAGAAAAGCAGAGUAUAUAGAUAACCACACAUACCUCACAGUCUUGGAAAAUUAUGCAUUAUUUAGAAAAGGGAUUAAAAAUAUCUCCAACUUGCAAGUGUUCAACCUCUCACCCCUUGGGAUUGCACAGGGAGGGUGCUGAUAUCCUUUUCCACUGCUUCAUGGUCUCUGAGGAACAGACCCAUGGCAUUAGUCAGCAGUUUCUGAAUGUUGACCCACAAUAGGAAAGAUACCUCGAGACAGGAAAAAUAGAUGGAGGCAAUUACAAACAGCUACUUGAUGGAUGGUUGACAUUGUCGGGGCUCCAGUGUAUGGCAGAUUGCGAUGGUGUUGAACUCCCCUUGCUACCAGUGGAUGUUGCUAUUGGCAACCGUGCAGUGAAGCCAAUAAAAAGGCAAGAAAAUGAGACGAAAGCUCA
rnacentral:lncRNA from 1 species